AUGGCUGGCGAAGGCAUCUCGAUAGAUGAAUUUAUGGAGUACGACUCGAUGGUCAGGCAGACAUUUAAAAGUGAGAACGAAGCGUACAAGUUCUACUUAGGGUAUGCGAAGAACAAAGGGUUUGGUGUUAGAAAGGGCGAUCUGAAAUAUAAGGGAAACAAGGAAAAUGCAUACCGGAGGACGUUUGUGUGUUGCAAACAAGGAUAUCGUGACGUAAAGCACUUUGAUGAAACCGACAAGAAAAGGACGCCAAGGGCACUCUUUCGGUGUGGUUGUCCUGCUCUUUUGCAGGUUGAGCUUCAAGCAAGCACUGGAUUGUGGUUUGUAAAGAAUUUUGUUGACCAACAUAGCCAUCCAUUCAUAAAUCCUGAGUUGUCACCUUUCUUGUGGUCUCAUCGUGGCAUGACCGAUCCACAGAAGGCGGAUGUCAUUGAGUACUCGGUUGGUGGACUUCGCACACAUCAGAUAAUGGAUGUGAUGGAGAAGCAGGCUGGUGGUUUGGGCAAGGUUGGAUUUAUAUCUCGCGAUCUGUAUAACCAUGUCGCGUUGGAGAAGAAGAAAAAGAUAGAAGGUAGCGAUGCUCAAUUUAUGCUGAACUACAUGACAGCACAACAGAUGAAAGACCCAGAUUUUUUUACAGAUACACCACAGACAGUGAUGGGCAUCUGCAGAACAUAUUCUGGGCAGACGCCCAAUCUCGCUUGGACUAUGUUGAAUUUGGUGGUGUGGUGGUGUUUGACAGCACAUACCGGUCAAACAAAUAUAGGUUGCCGUUUGUUCCAUUUGUGGGACUGA
rnacentral:rRNA from 1 species